rnacentral:lncRNA from 1 species
UCUUGUUUUUCGACAAUUCUUCUAACAUGAAAGUAGAGAGAGACAAGUGAAAAUAAACAUGAAAGAGUUAUAGCAACUUCAUAUUAAGGGUAAACCUCAAUUAGAGACCUUAAACCCAGUAUGAGAGUAAUCUUAUAGUCAUUGAAACCAGCUGUAGAAAAUAGCAUACCCCAUUUUUCUUCCCGCCUCUCUUUUCCAUUGAUCACCAUCAUCAUCAACAUGCUAUGAAGUUUGGACACAGACAGGUAAUAUAAGUACGAUAUGAUAGGAACACGACGAUACAAUAAUUUUUAAAAAAUGAGGACACGGAUAUAAUAAGAUAUGAUAAUAAAAAUUUAAUUUUUUUUAUUUUUUUAUGUUAAAUAUUAUGUAAAUAAAAAUAUUGAUAUUUUUCAUUGAUAUAUAAUCAAUUCUUUUCAAUUAAGCUUUCUUGUCAUUACAUAAAAUAUGAUAGGAUUAAUAAAACAAUACCCAUGACAGGACCCUUGGGCUUCCCAAAACACCUUGAAAACAACAACAAUAAAAAGAAAUUAAAUCCAGUCCAGUUUUCUAGACUGCUUCAUCAAGCAUAGAAAAAGGAAUUCUAGAAAAAUCUAAAAGCCAAAUGUACCUCAGAAAACAAAUUUUAGUGGUAAAAACCUUUAAUUUCCUAGACUACUUCAAAACUCUGCUUCUCCUUUCAUUCUCAACUGUGAUUUUUCAAUUCGGGGCCUCUAUCCAACAUGAUCGUGUGAGGAAUAUGUUUGUUUUUAGACACUUAUCUCAGGGCCGUGUCCUAUCUCUCUUUCUUUUGCAUAUUGUAGCGUGUCCCAUAUGUAUUCGGCCGUGUCCGAUUAGUGUCCAUGUCAGACACAUAUACGACACUAAUAUGAGGAGGGAUGAGCCGUGCCCGUGGUUCCUAGUCAGCAUUUCUGAGAAGAACUUUGUUUCAAUCAUCUUCAAAGCAUCAUCAUUUAGUUUCUCAUUCUCCAUUACUACAAUGUCUAUCAUUCAAUUUUAUUUUACUUCACUAGGUUUGAAAAUAGUAUUGAAUGAGUAUAUCUAUAAGUCUUGUUUUGGAAAGCUCUAUUAAAACAUCAUGGACAACUUCAUUAGUUAUCAUUUAAUUAAUUAGCAAGCAGUUAACAAUUUACAUAAUUUAUCCAAUUAUACAUCUCAUGCAUGUUAAACAUACAAUUGUUUUCUAAAACACACGUAUAACAUCUAAGUUUUACCUCAAUGUCCAGUAGCUCUUCCACCUACAGUUACAAGUUAGUCGAACAAUUGAUCAACCCAUUCAUUGAGCAGUCAUAAUCCACCAUUAAACUAUCUAACUAAAAUAGUAAUAAAAGUUUCAAACUAAACAAUUAAAAAGUCCAUAAAGUCCAAUUACAACCCAACAAGUAAAACUAAGUCUAAUGUUAAAUCUCAUAUUUUGGUCCCACAUUGCCUUCCUCAUUUGGAUUGGGAACACUUCAACGUACCUAAGUGUAGCCUUGUUUGUAUCACUUGGAUGACUCACUUCCCCACCUCUUCACAUGUUAUAUCAUUACAAUGAUUUAAAAGAGAGUGUGAGCUUAGCGAAGCUCAGCGAGUGUUUAAACAUACUAUAAGUAAACACAUCAGUCAGGUUUAAAGUAAGCAUACUAUAAUGGUUCACAUUUUAUUACAGCUCACAUGAAAUAGUGACACACACAGCAUAAUAGUUCUCAUAAUAUAAACAGUGCACAUAGGAUAAGCAAUUAACAUAAAAUAGGUAGUUCACGUAAAAUAUCAGUUCGCGUAAGACAACAGUCCAUAUGAAAUAAUAGUUCAUAUAAAAUAGCAGUUCAUACAACAUCAUAACUCAUAUAUUUCAAAUAAUGAUAAAUUGGCAUUUUGUGAUUAUGAAACAUAUAUGUGGACUCUAUCACCACACAUUGGAUAAACGGAUCUCAAUAUAACGUAUCGCUAUUAACUCAAAGAGACCUAUUUUGUCUCUGAUAUAAGUUUAGCAUGAAUGCUAACACUCUCCUUACCCACGACUCAUAGAACCCUGUGCUAUUUCCGGUGAAUGAAGCUAUGCUCUACAUUCCCUUAUCUCUCCAACACAUCUCCGGGCCAGAAUGCCCCAUCACAAUAAGAAGGGUGAGCACUCAUAAUCCUAUGGCUUGCUAACUAUAUCCAAUGGUUGUAAGAGUUGAAAAUGCCAACAUAUCGUUUUAACAUAUUCAUAAUACUCAGGAUAAUAGGGCUCGUAGUUAAGCAGAGCUCACACAAUAUAGCAUAGUUUGCAAUAAAGCAUGAUUCACAAGUAAUAUAGCUUAGAUGCGACAUAUAUUGCACAUAACCACAGUUCACAUAUCAUUCAUGUCAUACCUCACAUAAAUCAUAGUUCGGAUAUCUUAUUUUCCAUAUUACAUAGCUCGCAUAGUUUAUAACAUAAGUCACGUGAUAGCAUGGCUCGCAUACCAUAUAGCACAAAGUAUCACAAUCCAUAGUUCACAAUAUAUUUCACAAUUUGCUUAGCUCAUAUAUAUAGCACAUAGAUCACAUGAUAACAAAGUUCACACACAGUAUGGUUCACACAUAUCAUAUAGGGUUCGCAUAUCAUCCUAGUUGGGUUCGCACACAACAUAUAGAAGGGAUCACAUAACAUUCUAACAGGGUCCACUCACAACAUAUACCAAGUGAUAAGGGUUCAUACAUGUCUGGUGAUAGGGGUUCGUACAUGUCUGGUGAUAGGGUUCGCACAUGUCUAGUGAUAUGGUUCGCACAUGUUUGUGAUAGGGGUUAUACAUGUCUAGUGAUAGGUGUUCACACAUUUCUGGUGAUAGGGAUUCGCGCAUGUCUAGUGAUACGGUUCGCAGUUAUCACACACAACUGGUUCUCAUAUCAUUCAAUCAUAAGUUCGCAUUAAUUACUUAGCAAGUUCACACGUCUUGCCUAGGCUUCCCUUAGCUUGUGUACUAGUGUUUAAAUGAUGUAUACAAGACCACUCAUCUUAACAACCAUUGCUUCAACUAUAAUGCUCAAGUAAGCUUUUAUUUGCCUUUGUCCAUGCUUAUAGAGGCUUCCAAAUGACUUGACACUUCACAUACACAUCAAACACAUUGUAAAGUCAUUACUAACAAUAAAAAACACAAUUAAAUCAUUCCAAAAUCAUAGAUCACAACCUCUAAAUCUCUAUACCAAGAACUUAACUAGUUUUUAAGGUUAGAUUUCUACUUCAUGCAUCCUAAAUAUAAUCUAAUUAUAGAUUUGAGCCAUCAAUUUUAUCCAAUUACACUCAUCUAAUUUUUUGAAAAGAAAAUCAAGCUUAUAUUACCAUCAAGAAGGGGAAAAUGUUUAAUUUACUAAAGGAUUUAUUAAAUCAAGAUUAAAAACCCUUUAGAUUAAAAUGAGUUAGAAAUCACUUUAAAAUAGAAGCUUAGCUAAGAGAUACAAGAUCUACAAUUUUCAAGCCAAGAAUCAACUUAAAAUCAAUUGAUCUAUUACAAUCUUGAUUAAAUCAUUUAAAUCUCAAAUUGAAAUAACAGUUCACUUAGUUUAAUCAUAAAAGGUUAGAAUCUUACCUCAAUUUUGAAAAAUCGACAAGCUAUAGAGCUAUGUCACAUCUUGAAAACUGGGUUUGUAGAAAUUGAGUUAGUGAACUGAGUUAGUGGACUCACCUUGUUUUUACUUAAAUGUUGUGAAAUUGUGUCAAGUGAAUUGAUUUGGUUCAAUGGUUAAAUGUUGUGUUUGUGCGUAAGAGGUCAUGUGUUCAAAUCCUUUCCCUUUAAUUUUUAGUAAUUUUGUUACAACUGCUAUCUUUGAACAUUUGGCUUAUAUAUUAUUUUCAUUCAACUAAUGAUAAAAUGAGUCUGGUCAUUCAGUGGUAAGGCUUUGACUUACCCUUUGGUCCUGUGUUUGAAUCCUUGUGUGUGCAAAAUGAGAAUAUUUUUAUUCCAUUGCUUUGUAACACUCAUGUGAUCAAAAUUUGAGUCAAAUUUCAAUUUCAAAAAAUCUUAUCCUAAUAGGAUAAGAUUUUAUUUUUUGUUAUUUUAUUUUUAUUUUUGAAAAUUAGUUCCCAAAAAAAAUCUCCCACAUUACUAUCCACUUCCUCUCAUGUCUCUCUCUCUCUCAAUUUGUCGUUCAUUGUUUCGUUCCUCCCCAUUUUCUUUGUUGUUUUUUCAAUUUUUUGUUUUUCCUUUGUGACUAGCUAUUGUUUUCUCAACAAUUCUUCAUAAGAUUUCAGCCUUCAUUCUUUUUUCUUGUCAUUCUUAGUCUCUAAUUUGAUUCUUUGGUGUGUUUUGGAGUUCCAGAAUCGUAGUAAGUGUCGUGUAAGUAUGGUGUUUGUUUCGUUAAUUUUUCUUCUAAGAAGGAUGUUUGUAAGUAAGUUGCUCAAGAAAUUUUUGAUUGGUAUUGACUUCUUUUUGACAUUCUCUUUUGUGUGGAAAUUUGCUAGGUGAGGUUCGUGGAUUGCAUGACAUUCUUCCGAUGAGUAAGGAGUUUCCCAAGGCUACCGUUAAUGUUUGUGUAAGUAAAGGAAUGCCGAGAGGUUGAUUUUUGGCUUGUUAAGGCCUUGUAUUAGAGAUUGGAAUCAUAUUGGGGGUUUAGAGUUUAGUGAUUUGUUUCUAAAAUUGCUCGUUCUUAAUGUCAAUUUUAGGUUUUAGAAUUUCAAUUGUGGUGUGGGCAUCGAAAAGCGUUCAGGUGUGUAACGAAAAACCUGAAAAAUAGCAAAUGGCGCGAAGCCAAAAAGUUCACUAUCAAUGUCACACAAUCGUGUGACAAACCGUGUGAGCCACACAACUGUGUGUCAGGCCAUGUGGGCCACACAGACGUGUGGGCACAAUUUUUUUUGUAAAAUUUAGUUAGGGCCAUAUUUGUAAUGCAGUUUGAGGUUAGCCACUUCGUAGGCUCUAAAAUGUGUUAUGUAGGAUUUAUAGUUAUGAAAUGUUACGUUAUGCUUCUGUUAAUAUGAUUUUUGAAAGCAUGACAUUAUAUUCUGAUGCGUAAAGCAUGUAUGACUUAAAAUUCUAAUAUUGUAUGCGUAAUGUCCAAGAGCAAGUUUGUGUUAUAACUUUUGCAUCUUAUUUAUGUUUUGAGUUAUCUCUUUAAGCAUGAUUCAUGUACAUAUAUAUGAGUAUGUAAUAUGUUUGAUAUGUGUAUUGGGGUGGGAUAAUGAUGUGAUGAAGAAAGUGUUGGUAGUUUAACUGCAUAUUGAUAAGCCAUCAUUAUCAGGCAACCCGAGGUGGCGGGUCAUCGUUUUCGAGCAACCUAGGAUGACUUUAUUAGUGGUUUAACCAUAUAUCUGUUCUGGCAGCUUGACUGUAAUUCUAGUGGCUUGGUCACACUUAUUUGAUCCUAACAGAUUACUGUAUUAUAUCAGGCAGCUUGACUGCAUUAUUCUGAAAAGUGAGAUACGCUCGCUUAUAGAUGUGUGGGGUUGGAUGGGUAUUAUUACCCUAACUAGUGUGUAGGGAUGGUCGAAGAUGGUGUGUAGUGGAUGAGGUAGAAUUUGAUUAUGUAUCUGCAUCCGUAUCUAAUUCUAUAUUAGUAAUUGAAUUUAAUUUUUUAUAUUCAUCUAUAUUUGCAAUUGCAUCUGAUUCUGUAUCUGCAUCUGUAACUAAUUUGUCUGCUAUAUUGGUAUUUGUUCUAUUUGUUGGGCUGAGUUACACAUUGAGCUCAUUAGCUCACCUCUUUGUUUUAUCUUUUCAGGCAUUUGACAGAUUUAGGAUUGGGCGGCGUUAGGAAACUCAGACUUGUUAUCUUGCAUAAGUUGGUUAGAAUUAUAAAUAAUUGAACUUUUCUGGACUUCUGAUUUCUAGAUAAAUUUUUAGUUUUAAUUUUGGUUUUUUUAUUUAGUUAAAGUUUUUUUGCAUGUUUUCUGUUAAUUAAAAAAAUCACGUUUGAUUUUCAAAUCAAACGAGCUAAGGAUUUUCCACUGCAAACAUGAAAUGAGUUUUACAAAUGUUAAUAAUGAGAGUUUUAAAAAAUUCUCAAUCAGAAAAAUUAUACAUUUUCCCUUAUAGAAACUAUGGUUUUCAACUUAUCAUGUAACGCCCCAAAAUUUUAAGAAUUUAAUUGUGAGAUUCUGUAGUAAUUAAAUUUCUCUAUCUGUGGUUCUGUGUUUUGUGAUUGAGUUUAAGGUUUGGAGUUCGAGUUACAUUGUUAAAAGUUUUAUUCUUUUAGAACAAUCUCUAUCCAUGCGGUAUAUGGGUAAAAGUAGUUUGUAAGAACCUAUGACAAUAAUGAGCCUGCUGGUUCACUGGUUAAGCAUCUAUCUGUAUUCUAUCUGGUCCCGAGUUCAAAUCUCAUUGUAUGUGUUAAGAGAAUUUUUGCUAGUUGUUGAAGGUAUGUUGGUGGUUAAGACCAAUUUUAUUAAAUUUGGUUAAUGUAUGUAUCUUUUCUUCUUCUUUCUUUUUUUUUAUUUUUUUAUUUUUCCUUUUCUUUCUUUGUUUUACUUCUUUGAUUUCUUCUCGUCGAGUGUGUUCAACAUGUGAUUAUCGGAAAUUAGUGAGAUCUUUACGUUUUUAAAAGACUUCUGUAUAAGUUCUGUCGGAUUCCUUUCACUUUUGCAAUGUUUGGUUAGAUUCUUGUUACGGUGUUAAAUUGGGAAUUAUCAAACUGCUUUUCUUAAACUCUCUGUUAACUAGUCGUUUUGUUCCCUUAGGUGUGAGUACAGAGGGAAGCGACCCUUCGCGUGUUGUGCCGAAUUAGCACGGUAGAAUUGUCGGUAAGCAUUUGUCGUUGAAGUUCCCUCGUGUCGAUUUAUUCAACAUAAUUGGCUGUGUAUUAAUGUUGUGUUAAUUAGUCGUUUAGACAAAUGAUUGAUUCCUGAAUGGUUAAUUAGGUUUCGGGUAAUCUCCAUAUUUUUUUCCAUCAAAAUGAAACCAGGUGUGUAUCGAAAACCUUAAUUUUUACAAGUUUUGGUCGCCAAAAAUGGUGGCUGUCGACACUACACGGCCAGGCACACGGGCGUGUGUCCAGGCCAUGUAAGCCACAUAGUCGUGUGGCAGGCUGUGUAGUUGGUCGUGUAACUCACUGUUUGUCGAUUUGGGGCCACACGAGCAAAGGACAUGGGCGUGUGUCGAGGCUGUGUGUGGCCAUAUUAAUGCAGGGUUCACACGAGCAACGAACACGGACAUGUGUCAGGGUCAUGUAACUUACUAUUUGUGGUAAAAGACCACACGGACAAGGCACAUGGGCAUGUGUCUUGGCCGUGUCACUCACUGUUUGUGGAAUAAAACCACAUGGCCAUGGACACGAGCGUGUGUCCAGGCCAUGUAACUCAUUGUUUAUGCUUCGGAACCACACAAGCAAAACACAUGGGCGUCUAACCAGGCCGUGUGGCAUGUUAUUGGGAAAUCUGUUUUUAAGGCCAUGAAUGUUAUUUAACACUAACACUGGCUUCCCCUUUGUAUGAAUGAUUGAAUUGAUUAUAUGGAAGUUGUCUAAUAUUCUGAAACUGAUGUAUGCAUAAGAUAGUGGUAUGUAUACUAUGAUGCUUAUUCUGAGAUGGCAUUGUUUUAUCUGUUUGGGAAAUAAAUUAGAAUGAUUGAAUAUUUGGUACGAGAUUUGUACUCUGUAUUUACAUGGGUUUGGGUAUUGCGGAGCAAGAAGUAAUCUGUAUAGAAAUAGUGGUUCAGCCACAAUGUGCAUAAAUUUUAUUCUGGCACUGCGUUGCCUUCAGACCUAACAGCUAAGUUGCGUAUCUGUAAAAGUGUCAAAUGAGACUCUAAGGUGUGUAAGGUUUAUUGGGCAUUGAAUGUCCUUAACGGUACGUUGGGAUGGUCGAAAACAGUGUGUAGCAGUUGGUUUAGGAUUACUACAUCUAAAUCUAAUUUGUAUUGUAUUGUAUCUGGGACUGAAUUUGUAUAUAAACAGAUGUAUAACUCAUCUGCUCUGAAUUAUGAAUUGAAACUUCAUUUGUAUCAAAGUAAAUCUUUGAAUUUGGAAUUAUUUUAUAAGUGAGCACUAGUUGAAAAAUUUUCUUUUACGCCAUGAGUUCACUACUUAUUUUGUUAUUGAUUGAAUUUCAGAUGGAUCUUAGUCAUGAACGGACCGGUGCCGCAGAAGCUCGGUCAAGCUUUUAACUUUCUCUUAAGUAUUAUGUUAGGACUUCAGUAAUCUAUGAUAGUAGAACUUUGGAAGGUUAUGAACUAACUAAUCUUUGUGAUGGAUAUUUUGUGAAGCAUGGUUUAGUAUUAUUGUGUUACUUGUGUGGUAUGUGAGUAUCAACGAUGUAACUCUCUAAACUUGGGUUGAACGUCUAGGCUGGGUUUGGGGUGUCACAUAUCAUCUUUGAAAAUCCGUUGCAAACUUAGGUAUCACAUUAUGUGCUUUUCCGAAAAAUAAAUAAUAUUUGUGUGUGGUUUUCUAAAAGAAAAACAUGUAAGAGUUUUGUCAAAAAUAAUAUUUUCAGAUCUUACAACUUCCAAAGCUAGCUUUGAUUUGGGUUUUCAAACGGGAAGUGUUACCUCCAGGUCUGGCAUAUUGUCUAGGUCAAGUUUGGGGUGUUACAAGCUAAUUUGAGCUACAAUGUGUGAAGAUCUUUUGAGGAUGAAAACGUGAUUAAUCUUCAAAUUUGAAAAGAGAUUUUAUGUUUGGAGAGCAUAGAAAUAAAAAAAAAAGAAUGAAUUAGUUUCGGAAGAAAAGCAUUAAUUUGGUGUUUGGCAAAUUUUUGAAAGAGAUAUGAAGGGAAAGAAUGGUGGGGUUGCUAAAUAGGCAACCAAUUUUUAAAAAUUGGGUCAUUGCCCAUUUAACCACCUCCAGUUUCCUCCGUUUUCCAAGUAAGUUCUUGCUUUACAAUUAAAACCAAUUUAAAAAUUAUAUUUAAAUCAAACCUCGUUUUUAAAUAUGUUUUAACCAAAUUAAUUCUCGGACACCUAAUUUAAUUUCUUAACCUAAAAUUUUAAAUUCUAAUUAUUUUAAUACUUUAUUUAAUUAAUUCUGAAUUAUUUUAUUAUCUAACCUAAUUACGAUUUUGGAUUCACUAACCUAAUCUGAGAUACCCAAAUCUACUAACCCGAUUUUUGGGGUGUGACAAGACUUGCUACCAACAGUCCUUGUUUACAUUGUUUGUUAUUAUUAUAUUGUAUUAAACUUAUUUAGUUGUUAUUUAAUAGGGAUUGUGAUAGAUCUUCUUUAUGUUAGCAAAUAUCGGAUCUCUAUAUAAUUGUGAGAUUUGUAUAGCUUAUUGUACUUAGAAAUGAGAGCACUUAAUUUGUUCAAGUGAGAAACAUUAUUUGUGAGAGUGCAUUUGAUUGUAAAACAUUUGUGUUGUGGUUUUACAUGGUAAGUUCGUAGGGGUGAAAUUGGUGGUGAGGGUUUUAGUCUUCAAAGGUACAAAAUUGAGGAAAUUGUCACUGAGGUGUGAUAAAUUUAAGGUCACUUGUUGUAAGUGAUUGAAGAUAAUGGAUACUUCUUACUGAGUUAAACUCCGCAAACGUACGAAAAUUGAAUUGCAUUAACAAAAUUUGUCGCCCACUAUUUUAUUCCUUAUUUGACAGUGCUUGAAGAAGUGCCUAAACCCUAAGUCAUUCCUUCCAAGCACAUAGCUUAUCUUUUAGCAACUGCUUGGGCCAACAUUUGAUAUUAGAGCUUUUCACUUAACAUUGCUACUGAAAUCCCUAUUGUUGUUUAAUACAAGCUAAGGAAGGAUCAUCUACCUCACGUCCCUGAUGCUGGAAAUUGACCAUUAUGCUUACUAGAAAGACUGCUUGAAAGUUUAUAUUAAUCCAUUGGUGAGAAGUUUUAAACAAUUAAUGAAUACUGAAAAUGAGUUUAUUUUUAUUUUAAAAUGAAUUAAAAGUAAAAUUUAAAUAGUUUAAUAAAAGCUUAGUUCUUUUUUAUUUAAUAUGAAAUGAAUUUAUUCAAAAAAAUUAAUAAAAUUAAGAAUCCUACAUAAAUAAAACUUAUUAAUGAAAAAGUCAUUUUCAUCCGUUUAAAACAUUUUUUUAUUUUUUAUUGUUAUGAAUUAGAUCUAUUGAUAGAUUGCAUUACCUUGUCGAUAUUUGAAAAUAGAAUAAUUAAUAAUGGAGUAUAGUAGAAUUCUAUCAAGAUUUCAUCCCUACAAUUAAUUAUUUGUUGGGACAAUAAUCUAUAGGAAGGAUUAAUUUGAGGAUGAGGAAUUAUCACAUCGGCUCGCUUUCUUCCUUCCAUUCUUAGUCCAAGAGAACCCUUUAUUUAUUGUUUAAAGACGUGUUGCAACAAACUAUGUAUUUUGCCAUUGACAUGAAACCUGCCUCUUAAUUGUAGUAAAAAUUAUUAUUAGGAAUAUUCAACUAAAAAAAAAUCAUUUCAAGUUUACUAGAUAAAUAGAAUAUAAAUUUUACUCUAUUUAGACAUAGGUAAAUAAAAAUUCAUAAUCAUAAUAAUGAAUAAUUUAAUAAUAAAUUUAAUAUUUUAUUAAAACGAAAAAAAAAGAAUUACAUAGAAUAAUUAGAACAAUAUAAAUUUGAUAGAAUAGAAUAAAUGGAAAAGGAGUCAAAAUGAUAUAAUACAAAAAAUUUAGUCUAUCUAAAACAAAACAAGGGAUCAUAUGAAAAAUAUAAUUGAUUCUUUCGUUUCCUCGGGUCACUAGCCAUCUGUUGGGAGUUUUGAGGUUAAUACUGAUAUUUUAGCAUCAAAACUAAUUAAUCUAACUGUAGUUCUUCGUGUAUUGAUCUUUUUUGAAAAGAGAGUGUGUGCAAGUUGUUUAUUUCAAGAAUAGGUUGGAUUCACCUAGUUGUACUUUUUUUUCAUUAUAACUAGGAAAGAAAAGAGUGCAUGGUCUCGCAAAUUUCUUUUAAAUAAAUUUUAAAAAUUAUAUUCUAAAACUAUAGUAUUUCAUGAUUCAUUGGUACAUCGACUUUGAUUCUCUAUUAAUCAAUAAGUAAGGCUCAUUAACAUGGUUAAUGCCAAACCCGUUUGAAACUCAGAUGCAACAAAAUACUCUUUCUACUGCUAUGUUACAAAAUACAAAAAUAUUUUCAAAAUAAAAAUAUUUUUUCAAUAUAAAAUUCUCAUGUGGAUAAAAGAUUUGAGCCCUUUUCCAGUCUUGAAUCGAUAACCUAUGUAUAACAUAUUUUUUAUUUUUAUUGUUAGUGAAUUCGAUUUAUUGAUUGGUCCAUUACCUUGUCAAUAUUUGAAAAGAGAAUAAUUAAUAAUGGAGUAUAGUGGAAUUAUGGUGGGGUCUUCUUCUUCACGUGUUUCCUGCUUCAUUUAUGUCUUUAUUAUUUUGGUUUCUCUCGCUUUCAAAACUUUAAUAAGAUAGUGGAGAUUCUUGUUUUUCGAAAAUUCUUCUAACAUGAAAGUAGAGAGAGACAAGUGAAAAUAAACAUGAAAGAGUUAUAGCAACUUCAUAUUAAGGGUAAACCUCAAUUAGAGACCUUAAACCCAGUAUGAGAGUAAUCUUAUAGUCAUUGAAACUAGCUGUAGAAAAUAGCAUACCCCAUUUAUCUUCCCGCCUCUCUUUUCCAUUGAUCACCAUCAUCAUCAACAUGCUAUGAAGUUUGGACACAGACAGGUAAUAUUAGUACGAUAUGAUAGGGACACGACGAUACAAUAAUUUUUAAAAAAUGAGGACACGGAUAUGAUAAUAUAUGAUAAUAAAAAAAUAUUUUUAAUGUUAUAAGUGUUGAUGUGAAUUGAUAAAUGUUAGUUAUAAUGACAACUUGAUGAAAGUGAUUAUAUUUGGCUAUUUUGAUGGAGCCUUGAUUAUGAAAAUGUGGUUGAUGUCAUAUGUUCUCUUAACUUGAUUAUUUGAAUGAUUAAUAUUUGUUUGAGGUGCCUUUGAUUGGCAUAUUGGUUAGGUAUAGGAUGGAUGAAUUUUUGGCAUGUAAUUGAUUAUUUGACUGUGAUUUUGAGCUUAGGAAUGGAUCUAGAUAUGAUAUGAAUUGUUACUCAACGAAUGAUGUAUGAAAUGGCUUGAAUUAGGGGUUAAAUAUACUACACACAGCCUAGGACAUGGGCUGUCACAUGGUCGUGUGACACACACAGUCCACUCACACAACCGUGUGUCUUAUUGUCUUUAGGUGCAGGUUUCACACGACCUGACACACGGCUUGCGACAUGGCCAUGUGACCUUAAUUCGAAUAUCCACACGGGC